rnacentral:rRNA from 1 species
CUACGGGUGGCUGCAGUGGGGAAUAUUGCACAAUGGGCGCAAGCCUGAUGCAGCAACGCCGCGUGAGGGAUGAAGGCCUUCGGGUUGUAAACCUCUUUUAGCAGGGAAGAAGCGAAAGUGACGGUACCUGCAGAAAAAGCACCGGCUAACUACGUGCCAGCAGCCGCGGGAAUACGUAGGGUGCAAGCGUUGUCCGGAAUUAUUGGGCGUAAAGAGCUCGUAGGCGGUUUGUCACGUCUGCUGUGAAAAUCCAAGGCUCAACCUUGGACUUGCAGUGGGUACGGGCAGGCUAGAGUGCGGUAGGGGAGAGGGGAAUUCCUGGUGUAGCGGUGGAAUGCGCAGAUAUCAGGAGGAACACCAAUGGCGAAGGCACAUCUCUGGGCCGUAACUGACGCUGAGGAGCGAAAGCGUGGGGAGCGAACAGGAUUAGAUACCCGUGUAGUC